rnacentral:rRNA from 1 species
UACGUAGGGUGCAAGCGUUAAUCGGAAUUACUGGGCGUAAAGCGUGCGCAGGCGGCCGGGUGUGUCAGAUGUGAAAUCCCGAGGCUCAACCUCGGAACUGCGUCUGAAACUACUCGGCUAGAGUAUUGGAGAGGGUAACGGAAUUCAUGGUGUAGCAGUGAAAUGCGUAGAUAUCAUGAGGAACACCAGAGGCGAAGGCGGUUACCUGGACAAUUACUGACGCUCAGGCACGAAAGCGUGGGGAGCAAAAGGGAUUAGAAACCCCUGUAGU